rnacentral:rRNA from 1 species
UAACUUAGUGGCGGACGGGUGAGUAACGCGUGAGUACCUGCCUUUCAGAGGGGGAUAACGUUCUGAAAAGAACGCUAAUACCGCAUAACAUCGCAUGAUCAAAGGAGCAAUCGCUGGAAGAUGGACUCGCGUCCGAUUAGCCAGUUGGCGGGGUAACGGCCCACCAAAGCGACGAUCGGUAGCCGGACUGAGAGGUUGAACGGCCACAUUGGGACUGAGACACGGCCCAGACUCCUACGGGAGGCAGCAGUGGGGGAUAUUGCACAAUGGGGGAAACCCUGAUGCAGCAACGCCGCGUGAGGGAAGAAGGUUUUCGGAUUGUAAACCUCUGUUCUUAGUGACGAUAAUGACGGUAGCUAAGGAGAAAGCUCCGGCUAACUACGUGCCAGCAGCCGCGGUAAUACGUAGGGAGCGAGCGUUGUCCGGAUUUACUGGGUGUAAAGGGUGCGUAGGCGGCGAGGCAAGUCAGGCGUGAAAUCUAUGGGCUUAACCCAUAAACUGCGCUUGAAACUGUCUUGCUUGAGUGAAGUAGAGGUAGGCGGAAUUCCCGGUGUAGCGGUGAAAUGCGUAGAGAUCGGGAGGAACACCAGUGGCGAAGGCGGCCUACUGGGCUUUAACUGACGCUAAAGCACGAAAGCAUGGGUAGCAAACAGGAUUAGAUACCCUGGUAGUCCAUGCCGUANACGAUGAUUACUAGGUGUGGGGCGUCUGAUCCUCCGUGCCGCAGUUAACACAAUAAGUAAUCCACCUGGGGAGUA